rnacentral:rRNA from 1 species
AACGCGAAGAACCUUACCCACCUUUGACAUGGCAGGAACUUACCAGAGAUGGUUUGGUGCUCGAAAGAGAACCUGCACACAGGUGCUGCAUGGCUGUCGUCAGCUCGUGUCGUGAGAUGUUGGGUUAAGUCCCGCAACGAGCGCAACCCUUGCCAUUAGUUGCUACAUUCAGUUGAGCACUCUAAUGAGACUGCCGGUGACAAACCGGAGGAAGGUGGGGAUGAUGUCAAGUCCUCAUGGCCCUUAUAGGUGGGGCUACACACGUCAUACAAUGGCUGGUACAGAGGGUUGCCAACCUGCGAGGGGGAGCUAAUCCCAUAAAACCAGUCGUAGUCCGGAUCGCAGUCUGCAACUCGACUGCGUGAAGUCGGAAUCGCUAGUAAUCGCGGAUCAGCAUGUCGCGGUGAAUACGUUCCCGGGUCUUGUACACACCG